GUAGGUGGCAAGCGUUGUCCGGAAUUAUUGGGCGUAAAGCGCGCGCAGGUGGGUUCUUUAAGUCUGAUGUGAAAGCCCCCGGGCUCAACCGGGGAGGGUCAUUGGAAACUGGGGAACUUGAGUGCAGGGGAGGAAAGUGGAAUUCCACGUGUAGCGGUGAAAUGCGUAGAUAUGUGGAGGAACACCAGUGGCGAAGGCGACUUUCUGGCCUGUAACUGACACUGAGGCGCGAAAGCGUGGGGAGCAAACAGGAUUAGAUACCCUGGUAGUCCACGCCGUAAACGAUGAGUGCUAAGUGUUGGGGGGUUUCCGCCCCUCAGUGCUGCAGCUAACGCAUUAAGCACUCCGCCUGGGGAGUACGGUCGCAAAGACUG
rnacentral:rRNA from 1 species